CCCUUAGAUGUUCUGGGCCGCACGCGCGCUACACUGAUGCAUUCAACGAGUUACCUUGACCGUGAGGUCCGGGAAAUCUUUGAAACUGCAUCGUGAUGGGGAUAGAUUCUUGCAAUUAUUAAUCUUCAACGAGGAAUUCCUAGUAAACGCAAGUCAUCAGCUUGCAUUGAUUACGUCCCUGCCCUUUGUACACACCGCCCGUCGCACCUACCGAUUGAAUGGUCCGGUGAAAUCCUCGGAUCGAGCCGUGGGGCAACUCCGGUUCGAGAAGUUGAUUAAACCUUACCAUUUAGAGGAAGGUGAANUCGUAACA
rnacentral:rRNA from 1 species